UACGUAGGGGGCUGGCGUUAUCCGGAAUUACUGGGCGUAAAGGGUGCGUAGGUGGUUUCUUAAGUCAGAGGUGAAAGGCUACGGCUCAACCGUAGUAAGCCUUUGAAACUGGGGAACUUGAGUGCAGGAGAGGAGAGUGGAAUUCCUAGUGUAGCGGUGAAAUGCGUAGAUAUUAGGAGGAACACCAGCUGCGAAGGCGGCUCUCUGGACUGUAACUGACACUGAGGCACGAAAGCGUGGGGAGCAAACAGG
rnacentral:rRNA from 1 species